AGUAGGGAAUAUUGGACAAUGGGCGAAAGCCUGAUCCAGCAAUGCCGCGUGAGUGAUGAAGGCCUUAGGGUUGUAAAGCUCUUUUACCCGGGAUGAUAAUGACAGUACCGGGAGAAUAAGCUCCGGCUAACUCCGUGCCAGCAGCCGCGGUAAUACGGAGGGAGCUAGCGUUGUUCGGAAUUACUGGGCGUAAAGCGCACGUAGGCGGCGCAGCAAGUCAGGGGUGAAAUCCCGGGGCUCAACCCCGGAACUGCCUUUGAAACUGCUGUGCUAGAAUCCUGGAGAGGCGAGUGGAAUUCCGAGUGUAGAGGUGAAAUUCGUAGAUAUUCGGAAGAACACCAGUGGCGAAGGCGACUCGCUGGACAGGUAUUGACGCUGAGGUGCGAAAGCGUGGGGAGCAAA
rnacentral:rRNA from 1 species